UUUUGUUUGCUAAAUCUGCAAAGUGUAACUAUUUAUUUAGUGCAUUUAAUAUGCAAUUAAAAAUUGACCUGGCAUCUCUGGUUAAGUAUAACAAUAUUGCUGUCCUUGGUUGUCAUGUUGUUGAUUGAAGUAGUGACAAAUAAUUUUAAAAUGAUUUGAGUUUCAUUAUAGAGGUACUAAAAUUAUAUACUGGUGUGCUAAGCAUUUAUAUUGAACCUAGCAGAGAAAACGUGUGUUCGCUUGUAAUCUGUCAUACCACAGUUUUUCAAUCAAUGUUGGUGCUACUAUUUAGGAUGAUGACGGUGAUUAUAUAUACAUUAACACUCUUGCCGGCCGCUACCUAAUUUUGGGUAGAAACUUACCCAAAAUCAACUAAAGUGCAACUUCGCAAUUUUAGCAUCCAAACGAUUCGGUGCUCCAUCAGUCCGACCAAUAUAGAGAACCUGCAUCAAAUAUUUUUGGACAUGAAAGAAGCAGAUCAAUUUUUACUUAUGAAACGCGUACAAACUUCUUCCGUGGGAGACAAUAAUGUCAAUAAUGGUGUAUACGCGCGAGAAAAAAUUGUUCUGGUUUACAUGAAAUAAAACUAACACGGUUCAUUUAAACAGUAAACUUAGUUGUAUCAUUACACAAAUAAUACCAUAGAUAAAUUGAACCAAGUUUUUUCUAGAUGUGAAGUUAUAGCAGGAUUGAGUCAACGAGAACACUGCCGGUAACAUUAAUUCAACUUUGGUUGACAUGUAAAAAAUUGUUAGUUUAUUUCAACAAUAAACUCAUUCGGAACAAUUAUAUUUUUGGUUUGGUUGGACCAUAAUUUUGAUUCAAAUCAAACAGAGAUCAUUGUUUUUGUUGAAGGGAGAAAUUGGUUUGAAACAAUCAUAUUCUAGCUUGAAAUGAAUAUAAAUCAAAUUUAAAAAACUACUAACUGUUUUGUUAUUUUAAACAUGCUCAAUUUCUCUGCGUGCAGCAGCUGCGAGAUGCAUAUGGGUGGUCUAUAAUAUAACUGACACUGAAACAAACGUAUCCCCAACAAGCCGUUUUAGAUUUAUUUAUUCGAACAGUUCUACUGGCAAAUUAAAAACUGGUUUACGCUGCCGUUCUAUUUUUUUCAAUAUUUUAAACACAGAUAAGGGCAUAUUCAGGAGUGUUCUAGUUCUAGAUGCAUAAUUUAUGUCAGUUUUAAAAUUGUAAAUCUAGAAAUUAAAACAAGAUAAACUGGCAGCCCCAACAGCGUUUUAUCUGCACUCAAAAUAAUAAUCAUAUUAUAGUUACGUGAAAAGUUAUGUGAAUAUUUUCCACCCUACUUUUCACGUAGGUUUUAAUGGACUGGCAUUUAAAAGCUGUUUAAUGCAUAAUCCAGUAAAAGUUACGUGUUUCAUAGGUAAAAUGUAAUGUACUGUUCAUAUCACAUUUAUCUAUCACUUCAUAUCAAAUUUAGAUACCAGAAAACUACUAUUUUUUAUAUUGGUUGAAGUCAAAAGGGAGAUUCCAGAUUUUAAUAUAAAUCUAUGAAAUGAAAAAUGCCAUGAAAUAUAAAAUAUUUAUUUCAGAAAAUUGUCAUAUAAUUCCAAUGUCUUAAAAAGCAACUAAUAACGUCGUGGUAUCUCAAAUCGACAAGCCUCCAGAAAUCGUUUAUGUUGUCACUGCCAUCCAACCGAAGCCGAAGUCGAGAUCCAAGAACUCCCACAACACUACCUAUGCAGGUUGAAGUCGCAUUACAUGGUUCCAGUGUCUCUAGCUUCAUACCGACGGCCUGUUUGAAGCAUUCGGCAGGAGCGGGUAAACUUCCGGACUCACGCAGGCACUCGGUCCAGUUGAACACAUGGAAACUUUCAUACUGGAAUGGUCCGGUCGAUGGAGUAAAAAAUUGUAAUUAAGGUAGCGCUUCGCCGUGGUCACGGGAGUUCGCUGUCUAUCCCGGGGUUUCACGCACUUUACCCAAAAUUGUGAGAAAACGGUAAAGAAAACGGAAAUUCCAAGAACAUACGAUUCUAGAUAAUUAAUUUUUCUAUCGAUUCGUAUAUAAACUGUGCCUGAUAAACGUUUUUAUCGAAAGAUUUCGUGCGAGUUUUAAAAAUAAAUGAGUUUUUCCAUAUUCUUUCGCACGCACACAAUGUCAACGCAUGCAAAAUCGCACGAAAUCUCGCGAAAGAAAAGCUUUCUAAUAUUUUUCGCCAAAUGCAUAGUAAAAUCAUUUACCUACAAUCGUAUGUUUUUGAUUUUUCGUGAAUCGGGUUAGUAUUGGAGAAAUUUGCAAUUUAGAGUGAAAUUUCGGCGACAAAGCAAGAGGAAGCAGUGAGUUGUCUCGCUUCGACUUGACCACGGCGAAGCGCUACCUUAAAUAACUUUUCUCGCAAAUAUUUACACUACUUACACUUCCAGGGCCACUGCUCGCCAUUUUUAAAAUCGAGUUCAGGGUGGCAAGUGACCGGGAAAAUCGGGAAAACCGGGAAAAAGUCGGGAAUUUGAUUUCACCGGGAAAAACCGGGAAAAAGUCGGGAAUUUUAGUGAAAAACCGGGAAAAUAUUACUAGCUCACCUAUGAGUAACAGUUGUUAGCAUAAUGAUUUUUUUCAACAAUUGAAAAGUAAGAGACAAUACCCAAGUUUGCGUUUGAGCGAAAUGUUCAGUACAAGUAUUGAAAUAACUUAUUGUCCAUUGGAAAUUGGAUCAACACCCCAUGUCUCGUCCAACGAUUUUUAGAGCCUUGCAGACAGUUUUAAAUCAAACAGGAAGCAUCAGAAUUUUUUUAAGUUGUUAUCAAUAACAACAUAAUGAAAGCUCAUUUUGAAAAAUAAGGAUAAUUUGGAUGCUUUUGUUGGAUUUUUAUUAAAUUUUUGAAUAAGUAUUCAACACACUUACAAAAUUUAUGGCAAAAUCUCAGGUUUACAUAGGGAAAAUUUUUAAUAAAAUUAUUGAACAUUUUUAGGAACCUUCAUGUUUUUAAGUUUCAUCAUAAUUUGUCUCAGUAAUGUCAUCUUUAGGCAAUACUUGUGUUAUGCUUAUAUUCCUGUGAGAUGUCAAAAGGGUUCGCAAGAUUAAAAAAAGAGUUGUUGACUUUGAUCUUAUUCACCGUUCACAGGAAGUAUUUGAGUUCCUUUUUGAGAGUUGAAACUGGUUUCUGAGGACUAGAAUCUUAGAAAGAUUUAGAAAAUGGAUUGAUUUGUUCAGUGAAUCUAUGUUUAAUGUUCUUUUAAAGGUCUUCAACUAUUCAAUAGCAGGAUCACAAGAACGUUAAUAUUGAUGUAGAUAAAGGUGAAUUGAAUUUAGUUUGAGCUUUUGUAACUUCGAUAAGGUAAUGAUUUAAAUUAUAUACGGUCAUAUCUAUUUUUCCCAAAACAACUUCAGGGUUUACAUUCGAUAGUUUUCUAGUCGAUAAGUUCUAAGCUGGUAGAAUGUAUAACUAAUUGAGCUAAUCAUUGCUGAAUGUUAUUGAUUGAGUUUAUCAUGAAGAACUCGUUUUCUCUGAUUACUCUACGAGCAUUUAGAACCAUAUUAGGAAAAAAUAGAUCAAUAUAUUGUGCAUUUUGACUGCUAUCAUUUGAUUUAUUUACCCAUCAACGCAUUGAAAUCGUAAAUAUUGUUUAUUGACUAACAGAUGCAUUAGAAAAAAUUGGUGUUUUAAAAGAGCAAGUCGUGGCAGAAGAACGGGUUUGCGAAAUUUUCUAAUACACACAUCUAAUACAUCUAAUGAUUUUAAUUUCAAUUCUAUUACAUGAAAAUUUAAAAAUUUUUUCUGACAGGACUUUGUUAAUAAUUGGUUUUAUGGUUUUUAUCACAAUCACAGCAUGAUAAUUCAUCUGAUGAUAUCGUUCAUUGAACAGAUGUGCUUGCAAGCGACAUACUUUAAACAGUAUAUGUCCAUAUAACAAUUUAUUGUACCAUGGCCGAAGCAUUGGCAAUGACGAUAUUAUGUUAGAUUCGCUGUGCCAUCAUCAGUGUUUGUUAUUGCCGAUAAUUUGGCAGAAAGUGGCUCUAUAUUGCUCAACAUUGUAUACAACAUUUUCAAUCUGGUAGAAGACGCUACAAGAACUCGAUGUCUCUCAAUGCAUGAACCGUGAGAUAAUUCACUCCACUUCAUACUCUGAGUAUUUCGCAGCCCGGGAACUAUAUAUGUACAGUCCGGCAUACAAAGGUUAUAUGCACAUAGUUAGAAUAAGCGGCAAUAGUAAAAUGAUUCUAUCGCAAUUAUCCACUGCCCGUAUAGAAUCGGAUCGCAAAACGAGAAUAAGCGACCGUUUGUUGCUUCAGAGAGAAUCCCUACAGCAGCGAGCUAACCUUUGAUUCUCAGACAGGUUAUCGAGAGAAAUUCGCUUUCGCACUGGUGUCCAUUCUAUGUUAUAUGAACCAUGACGGUGUUUUGUUGCUGAGAUUAUAUCCGUCUCUCUUUGAUGGCACUGAUUGAAUCGUGUGAAGAGUUGCUAGCAAGCGUUCUUUGAUACGAUAAAAACCAUCCCCGGCCAUUAUGCCUUUUAAAUUUUCCCGCCAAACUGAGAUUUCCACUUUCACUUCCGGAAGGAGCGAAGAAAAAAAAUGUUCAAAAUGAUUUGAAGUUGCAAGCAUAGAUUGUUGUUGUUUUUUUCUGAGUGGCAAGCGUCCGUUUUUGGGAUUGUUGUUCCUUAUUGAUUUAUUUUCAGUCAUAUGUAUAUCAAAACAAUAAUAAAAACAGUCAUGUGCACUCGGAAGAAAUCGGUGUAACCAAAACCCCUGAAUGACUUUAAAAAGGCUUUAUACUUUUCUUAUAUGUACAUGCUAUAAUGAAUAUUUUCUAUUUAUACAUCGAAAUGCCUCGAAAGUAUGAGAAAUCUCAAUUAGCGGGCCUAUUACAACGAUGCUUUUUGGACAUGGGAUAUCUGUAUAAAGUUUGAAUUAAAAAAUAUUAAAAAAAACUAAACAGGAGCGAUUUGAGCCUAUUCAAAAAACCGGGAAUUUUUAUCUCAAAAAACCGGGAAAACCGGGAAAAAACCGGGAAAUUGAAAUCGGCAAUUCACUUGCCACCCUGCGAGUUUUUCACACUGGAAAUUCACGUAGAUUGUUUGACGUUUGGUCAAUUCACGUAAACCUUAUGUGAUGACUCUAUUCAUUUUAGGGGAUGUUCGUAUAACAUUCAUUUUAGUCACGUAAAAUAUCCAAUUUGACAUUUGAAACCAUUCUACGUGAUUUUUCAAGUGAAUCGAACGUGAAUUUUUAUUUGAGUGUGUGUUUCAAAUAUAUAAAAAAUAGAACGGCAAUGUAUACCACACUAAAAAAAUGAUCACUUAGUAUUCAAAUGCAAAAACAUAUAAAUAUUUUCCAUAAUACUUUACACGUAGAUAUUACUUAGUUCAUAUAUAAUAAUCAUAUGACUCAUAAAAUAAAAAUCAUUUUCGGCAACACGUAUGGUUUAUGUGAAUUUCACAUGCAUUCUAUUUGAUGCCGAUGUAUCUUUUAUCGGAAUCUCAUUUAUCUUGUAUAUGUUGAUUUAAUAGUAAGCAAAUGAUUCUAUCGUUAUAAUUGACCAAAGAAAAAUUAUAUAACAUUCCAUUCAGUGAGACAUAUAUUUCCCAAAGAUCUCAUUAUUCUUAUAGUAUUUCUUAUUAACACUCGCUAAAUGAUUAUGAUGAAAUGCACAUUGAAACAAAACAUUUCAUUGCCUCCAUUAUACUUCAAAAGAAAUCAUCGUAAUUCCACAUAUUUUUUGUAGGUUUCCAUUAUGCUCGACCGUUAUCGUGAAUAAUUAGGCAAUAUUUGAUAUUCUAAAACAUAAUCUAAUAAUUUCUAUUAUGAUAUUCGAUUACAAGUAUUAAUUUACCUUCCAGAACUCAAGUAAUUUACCUCAGUUCGAGAAUCUCAAGCCUGCUAAAGCUAUCUUCUAUCUUGCUAAUUACCGCCAUUGCUAUUUUGAAGAAUUUUUUCACAGCUUACAAUCACAUAAUAUGUAUGUGCUUUACACCUGAAACAAAAUCUGCUUGAGUGCUGCACAUAUAAAGAGUAAGUGCUGCACACUUAAAAGUUAUCGACCUACCAUUUAAAAAUUAUAAAUGUAUAUUUGUAUUCUAUAUGAUGCAUAUGAAUGUUAUGUGGUAGACUGUUUUAAUUAUUCAUGUAGUUUUCCACAUGAAACUAAUGUGAGGGUUUGGCUCAGUGCAGUUUAAAAUUUGACAGUACUGGUCGAAUAAAUAAAACUAAAACGAAUUGCUGGGGAUACGUUUGUUUCAGUUUCAUUUACAUUAUAGACCACCCAAAUGAAUCUUGCAGUUGCUGAAUUUGCUCUAAAACUCUGCUGGGGCUGCCACUUUAUUUUGUUAUAAUUAUUCAGAUAUAAUUUUAAAACUGACAUAAAUUAUGCAUCUAGAACUAGAACACUCCUGAACAUGCCCUAAUGCCACCCAUAUUUUUGUCGUGCACUCAAAAUAAUAAUCAUGGUAUAGUUAUGUGAAUAUUUUCCACCCAACUCUUCACGUAGAAUUAAUGGACUGGCAUUUAAAAGCUGUUUAAUGCAUAAUCCAGUAAAAGUUACGUGUUUCAUAGGUAAAAUGUAAUGUACUGUUCAUAUCACAUUUACCUAUCAGUUCAUAUCAAAUUCAGAUACCAGAGAAUUACUAUUUUAUAUAUUGGUUGAAGUCGAAAGGAAGAUUUCAGAUUUUUAUAUAAAUCUAUGAAAUGAAAAAUACUAUGGAAAUAACUUAUUUAUUUCAGAGUAUUAGCAUAUAAUUUUAAUAGCUUAAAAGCAACUAAUAGCGUCGUGGUAUCUCAAAUCGACAAGCCUCCAGAAAUCGGUUUUGUUUUCAAUGCCAUCGAACCGAAGCCGAAGUCGAGAUCCGAAAACUCCCACAACACUACCAAUGCAGGUUGAAGUCGCAUUACAUGGUUCCAGCGUCUCUAGCUUUAUACCGAUUUUGAACUCGUUUUUAGGUGCACCAACAGCCUGUUUGAAGCAUUCGGCAGGAGCGGGCAAACUUCCGGACUCACGCAGGCACUCGGCAGUUGAACACAUGGAAACUUUCAUACUGGAAUAAUCCGGACGAUGUAGUGAAAAAUUGUAAUUAAAUAACAUUUCUCGCAAAUAUUUACACUACUUACACAUUGAGGUCCACUGUACGCCAUUUUCAAAAUCGAGCUUUUCACACUGGAAAUUCACGGAAAUUCAUUUUGGUUUGGUUAAUUCACGUAAACCUUAUGUGAUGACUCUAUUCAUUUUAGGGAAUGUUCGUAUAACAUUCAUUUUCGUCACGUAAAAUAUUCAAUUUGACAUUUGAAAUUAUUUUACGUGAUUUUUCAAGUGAAUAGAACGUGAAUUUUUAUUUGAGUGUGAAUACCAAACCGGGGAAGAACUUGACACAUUACCUGUGUUUCAUUUUUUCAAUUGUGGAGGUCGCGUUUUUAUUUAAAAUGGAACGUCCAUUAAACAUGCUACUUUGUAUCAGUGGAAAAUGAUGCAUUCGUUUUGUGUUUUGUGGAAUCGCACACGCAAAGAAAAAACUGUAUAAAUUUCAGGGUUUACAUUGCUUUCGAUAUGAGAUUUGUAUUCUAGGCGAUUGGCUCUAAGGUAGUAGUAUAUAUACUUAAUUGUAUUAUUCGUUUCCUAAUUUGAAAACUUGAAUGUUAUUGGUGGAUGAUCUGAAUCAAAAUCAAAGAAUCAGGUCGAUUGUAGAAGGAUUUCUUAUAGAAGAUAAAUUAGUUGGCAAUUGGAAAUAUAACUGUAUAAAAACCAGCAAAGAUUUCAUCAUGCAGAACUCAUACUUUCUGAUUAUGUAUGUUUCUGAUUACUCCACGAGAGAUGCCUAACAUUUAGAAUCCUGUUAGGAAAAACAGAUCGAUGUCUUGUGAGUUUUACAGCUAUCAUUUGAAUUGUAAUCAUAAACAUGUUGCAUUUCAAAAAUGUGAUGACAUGACGGACUUAUUGUUUAUUGACUAACAGAAACAUUAAAAAAAAUGAUGUUUUAGAAGAGCCAGUCGUGACAGCCGAACGGUUUUGCUCAGGUAUACAUCUGAUGAUUUUAUAUUAAAUUUUAUAAUACAAGAAUUUAAAAUUUUUUUCUGAUAGUAUAUUGUUAUUAAUUGGUUUUGUGGUUUCCAUUACAAUCAGAUUAUGACAAUCUGUUCAUUAACCGUGUUUGCAAGAGAAUUGCUAUAAUUGAAACAGCGUAUGUCCGUAUGACAAAUUGUUGUAUUAUGACCAAAGCCCUGGUAAAGACAAAAUUAUUUUAGGUUCGCUGUGGCAUCAUGCCGUUUAUAAUUUUACCACCGGUACUGAGAGUUCACUUGCACUUUCGGAAGGAACGAAGAAAGUUCUGUAUAAUUGCUUUGAAGUUUCUUAUUGAUUUAUUUUCCUUGUUGGUUUAUCAUAUUUAGUUAUCAUAUGUAUACUAAAAAUAAUAAAAACAGUCAUAUGCGCUCGAAAGAAAUCGUUACGUGUAUCCAAAACCUCUAGAUGACUAGAAAAAGGUUUUUCUUAUAUGCACUAGUAAUAAUCAAAAUUCCCUAAUUAUGCAUCGAGAUAUCCGCAAAGUACUUCAAUCCUCAAUCACCGGGUCUAUUAUAACGUUCUUUAUUAGACAUGGGAUAUCUGUUUAAGGCUUUAAUAGAAGGAAUAUUUGAAAAAAAAAUAAUAAAAAGAGACGAUUUCAGGCUAUAUUAAAAACCAGUAAUUUUAAUCUCGCACACCGGGAUCGGCAAUUCACUUUCCACCCUGAAUGACAGUUUCUCUUUGUUUGCUCUUUCUUACAUGAUUAUCGAAUUGAUUUUAUAUUUGACGCUCUACUCUUCGCAAAACUUUCAAGCUAAAACCACAAGCAUUCGAUUUAUAUUGGAAAAUUUCAAGAAAUUUAAGUAAUGACUACGUAAUAUUUAAAAGAGAAAGAUGACAAUGAGAGACACGUGGUAAUUUGAAGGGGAAAAAGUUUAUUUUGCAUAUGUUUACGUCUCAUCUUUGACUCAUUACACACGAAAUGUAAUGUCAUAGCAGUUCAGAUUGAACUGCUAUGCACUGAUGAACAGUGGUAGUAAUAUUCGAACCGAUCACCGAUGCUUUUGCAAAUUUGCUCGGACAUGUUCUCCGAGCGUUAACAUGCGAAGAGUUUGAAAACUUUUCCCUCGGCUCAUGCGAAGCUGAUAUGUACUCAGUGUUCGGCGAAGCAAUUGAUUUUGAACCGUUCGGUUGGCGGAUAAAUGGCGAAGAUCGAGUGAACUCCAUUCGAUACGAUGAUUUGUAAAAUACAAUACUCGCAAAUUUGAAAUUAUUUAUAUAUGGGUAUAUGUAUAUUAAUGUAGAGUGAUAAAUAUGAAAAAGAAGCUUUAUUUUUCCGAUUGAUAAAUCGAUCAAAAGCAAUCCGUAUUGAAUUAUUUUGGACAUUUUAAGUAAGCGUAGGGUGGCUAAUUCGAGAAAUUUGUAAAUUUUUCGACAAAUGCAAAUGUGAUGCUACACCCAACCAUCGAUUUACGCGCUUUAUAUAUGUACUAGCUGGCCCGUCGAAGUUGGUCUUGCCCGAAAAUUAUUUGUUCGAAAUUAUGUUUUCGGAGAGCAGAAUUGCCAAACGACUAUGUGGUUAACGUUUCUCUGCAAUAUUUUUCUGAAUAAUUAACCUACAGUCAAUGAAAUUCGACACACAUUCGCUUUAGCCCAAAAAAAGAAACGUCAACAAAAAUCAAUGUGAAAAUGUGAAAAACUUCUGUUAAGUAAAAAUAGAGCAAAUGAACAGACUUACCGACUCUCGUCCUUUGAAUCAAUGUACCAAAAGGAGAUCCCUCGAACGGUUUUGACAUAAUGAAGGUGCCACAUUUUCUCUUCUAGAUUGAAUUCUUGCUUCCGGUAAUCGAUAAAAAAGCUCCUGAACCAGAAUUUUGUAUUGAUAAACUUAAUACAAUGUUGAGGUGUUUCUCUUCUAGAGUUGUUCAUUCGGUAGAUUAGGAUAUGUUUACAAUUUGUAUUUAGCCCAAGUAACCAGAAGUUCGUAAAAAAUAUUUGGCUUAAGCAGCAAACAAAGCAUUCUGAAAAGUCCGUUUUUAAGGAAUUACUAAUACUUGUAUGUUCAACAGAACAAACUUUGAAGCAGUUUCUUGUACAGCUUUUAAGCAGCGAGAAAGUUUCCUCAGGACUUAUUCUGUAUGUUCAAGUUGCUGUAAAGUGCCACGCGUACUUUAGAGCUUUAAAAAAGUACAUAUUUUUCAGGUACUGUUGAAUUUUUUGUUGCUUGGAGAGACCAAUUUGAACAUCCUUCACAGGAUAUAAAAUAUGAAAUAUAAAUAUAGCAAUCUCAAUCCAUUAUGGUAAUCAGCUUGAACUAUCAUCAACUAUCAACUAAUCAUUGAUAUCUAAUUGUCACUUAUUGUGUGCGCUUAGUCUAAUCUAAAUCAUUAGAAAGCUAAAUGCAAGGAAAAUCUACAGUACAGUCUUUUUAUUGAUUCAUUUAAUUUUUUUCUGAAUUGUUAAACUCGAGCCCGCAUUGACCAAUACUAUUCAUCUGACUGCAUUGAAGACAAUUCAUCAGCUGGUAAAUGGUAUCAGAAGGUUUUCUCCUAUCUACAGCGGUUUUCUAGAACAGUAAUAUGCAUUCCGUCAUUGAGUCAUUUGGUAAGCAAUAAUUUCGAUACCCAAUUAAGCACGUGGCUUUAAAUGACGAAUAGCAUAGAUCAAGUAUGCAUGUGAAAUCUCCACACAAAAUAACUCGUAGUGCGCCAAACGAUUUUGUAAACGAUCUAGUAUUCUUUUCUUCAACGACCAAACACUUAUGCAACUCGUAAUGCGUCAAACACCUAUCGAUGAUCCAGCAAGCAUAGGCGACUUUUUCAACGGAAAAUUCCAUUGUCCAUACAAAACAAACGUAAUGGAUUUUUCCCAUUUUUCCGGCAAAUUGCAAUCACAUGACCGUUAAUCCAGACAAAUGCUCGAUCAUAACGUUUACGAGAAAAAAGUGCCUUUGAAAUUCGAAUACUUUAUUGAGCGAUUCAUGAUUGGUAGAUCGACGUGUAUCAAGUAGGGUAACAGAGGUAUUUUGGCCACUUCAUAUAUUUUGGCCCACCUAACAAACUAUAUGGAUUCAAUCGAUCUUAGGUAACCCAUGUUGCAUCAGUUUGAAGCUAAUCACAUUAAAUUACCUAUUGCGGAAGGGUUUUUCAAAGAUAUUAAAACAUUUGGUGGAUAUUUUUACAAAGUGGGCCAAAAUAAAAUCGAUCCUAAAGCGGGCCAAAAUACCUCUGUUACCCUACCUUGGCGUUUUUCUUGACAAGCAGUUAUCAUUCAAGCAACACACCAACUAAAUUUUAUUUAUUUAUUUCGUCAAGCAAAUGUAGACAACAUAUAAAAGGUUUACAAUGUUUACUUAGAUACUUUCGCAUUAUUUCAUUUCAUUUCGACUAAGCUGGAAUUUCAUUUCAUUUUAUAACAUACCAAGGUCAAGAUGUUCGCAAUAUUGAUUGUAGUGGCGCAUUAUUCGGUUGAUUGGGCUAUAUUUUGCAUAAUUUGUUCUAGUGUUUCUUUCUAAACAUAAUUUUCUGGUUCGUAAUUGAUGGCUAGGUGUGUAAAAAUUUAAUUGCGAUUAUAAAGAAGGGGAUUGAAUGCGUUGAGAAAUAAUGUCGCUGAUAAAAUAAAGCAUUGCAAGAUCGCGGCGUUCUUUAAGUGUUUGAAUAUUGAUGAGCAUACAGCGUGCUUCAUAUGGUGGUAAAGGAAAUGUCCAAUUUAAUUUACGAAGUGCAUAUAAAAGAAAUUGUUUUUGAAUAGAUUCGAUGCGUUCUUCGUGAAUAAAAUUGUAUGAAUUCCAUACUAGGCUGCAAUAUUUCAAAAUAGGUCCAAAAUAUGUACUGUAUAAUAUUUUAAUUGUGUACACACUUAAAACCAUUUCUUGAGCUCGGCAUAAUAAAAUGCCGAAACUGAUCAGCAACACCUAAAUUUGCUGAUUGCUCAGUAAUCAAUACGCAUGUUUAUAAACUUCGUUAAAUGCAUUCACUGAUAUUUCGGUAAAAUGCUUCACUUUGCCGAAAUUUGACAUAAUUGCUUGCUGAAUUUAUCAGUAAACAACAGAUAUGCCGACAUCAGCAGAGACGUUUGCCGAGAUUUCGGAAUAUGCGCUAGCUGUUGCCGAGAUUCAGCACGACAGCUGUCAUUUAUUGUCGCGUCACAUUUUCGCUUCGCAUUGCGCGAUUAUUUUCUGAUGAAAUUCUCGAGUGAAAAAAUGGAUAAUCUUCGAAGAAACGUGGAACCACUUGCAAGUAAAAAUAUUGAAUAAAUAUAGUGACAUGUUUCGCUUUAUAAAAAGCGACUUUAUCAGAUCACAUUAUAAGGGAAAAACACCCAACACAGGGCUCAAAGAGUCCUCGAGACAAAACUUUGGGGGAUAUGCGAAAAAAUAACCCAAUGCAUGGACAAAUUCAAUAGAUCAAAGUAAGUUUAUUUUUUGAACAAUACCGUAUAUGCAUCAUUAAAUAUUGAAAAUUUUUGUAUAUUUAUUUUUAUUUUCAUAUUUCCAGCUCGACUCAAGAUGGCCGCAUCCGGAAACGCCGCUUUUUAUUAUGCUACAUGUUUUAAGGUAGAGGCUUUAAGCACUACUGGCAACAAAUUUGUAAGCCUCCUUUAAGUGUUAAUAAAAUGAAU